UAGGAUCAGAAGGAUGACUACAACUGGAUACCGUC
rnacentral:sRNA from 1 species